rnacentral:rRNA from 1 species
UACGGGGGGGGCAAGCGUUGUUCGGAAUUACGGGGCGUAAAGGGCUCGUAGGCGGCCAACUAAGUCGGAUGUGAAAUCCCCAGGCUCAACCUGGGAACUGCAUCCGAUACUGGAUGGCUUGAAUUCGGGAGAGGGAUGCAGAAUUCCAGGUGUAGCGGUGAAAUGCGUAGAUAUCUGGAGGAAUACCGGUGGCGAAGGCGGCAUCCUGGACCGACAUUGACGCUGAUGAGCGAAAGCUAGGGGAGCAAACGGG